rnacentral:rRNA from 1 species
UUGCGGCAGGCCUAACACAUGCAAGUCGAACGGUAACAGGAAGCAGCUUGCUGCUUUGCUGACGAGUGGCGGACGGGUGAGUAAUGUCUGGGAAACUGCCCGAUGGAGGGGGAUAACUACUGGAAACGGUAGCUAAUACCGCAUAACGUCGCAAGACCAAAGAGGGGGACCUUAGGGCCUCUUGCCAUCGGAUGUGCCCAGAUGGGAUUAGCUAGUAGGUGGGGUAAUGGCUCACCUAGGCGACGAUCCCUAGCUGGUCUGAGAGGAUGACCAGCCACACUGGAACUGAGACACGGUCCAGACUCCUACGGGAGGCAGCAGUGGGGAAUAUUGCACAAUGGGCGCAAGCCUGAUGCAGCCAUGCCGCGUGUAUGAAGAAGGCCUUCGGGUUGUAAAGUACUUUCAGCGGGGAGGAAGGGAGUAAAGUUAAUACCUUUGUUCAUUGACGUUACCCGCAGAAGAAGCACCGGCUAACUCCGUGCCAGCAGCCGCGGUAAUACGGAGGGUGCAAGCGUUAAUCGGAAUUACUGGGCGUAAAGCGCACGCAGGCGGUUUGUUAAGUCAGAUGUGAAAUCCCCGGGCUCAACCUGGGAACUGCAUCUGAUACUGGCAAGCUUGAGUCUCGUAGAGGGGGGUAGAAUUCCAGGUGUAGCGGUGAAAUGCGUAGAGAUCUGGAGGAAUACCGGUGGCGAAGGCGGCCCCCUGGACGAAGACUGACGCUCAGGUGCGAAAGCGUGGGGAGCAAACAGGAUUAGAUACCCUGGUAGUCCACGCCGUAAACGAUGUCGACUUGGAGGUUGUGCCCUUGAGGCGUGGCUUCCGGAGCUAACGCGUUAAGUCGACCGCCUGGGGAGUACGGCCGCAAGGUUAAAACUCAAAUGAAUUGACGGGGGCCCGCACAAGCGGUGGAGCAUGUGGUUUAAUUCGAUGCAACGCGAAGAACCUUACCUGGUCUUGACAUCCACGGAAGUUUUCAGAGAUGAGAAUGUGCCUUCGGGAACCGUGAGACAGGUGCUGCAUGGCUGUCGUCAGCUCGUGUUGUGAAAUGUUGGGUUAAGUCCCGCAACGAGCGCAACCCUUAUCCUUUGUUGCCAGCGGUCCGGCCGGGAACUCAAAGGAGACUGCCAGUGAUAAACUGGAGGAAGGUGGGGAUGACGUCAAGUCAUCAUGGCCCUUACGACCAGGGCUACACACGUGCUACAAUGGCGCAUACAAAGAGAAGCGACCUCGCGAGAGCAAGCGGACCUCAUAAAGUGCGUCGUAGUCCGGAUUGGAGUCUGCAACUCGACUCCAUGAAGUCGGAAUCGCUAGUAAUCGUGGAUCAGAAUGCCACGGUGAAUACGUUCUCGGGCCUUGUACACACCGCCCGUCACACCAUGGGAGUGGGUUGCAAAAGAAGUAGGUAGCUUAACCUUCGGGAGGGCGCUUACCACUUUGUGAUUCAUGACUGGGGU